rnacentral:rRNA from 1 species
UACAGAGGUCUCAAGCGUUGUUCGGAUUCAUUGGGCGUAAAGGGUGCGUAGGUGGCGCCGUAAGUCGGGUGUGAAAUUUCGGAGCUUAACUCCGAAACUGCAUUCGAUACUGCGGUGCUUGAGGACUGGAGAGGAGACUGGAAUUUACGGUGUAGCGGUGAAAUGCGUAGAUAUCGUAAGGAAGACCAGUGGCGAAGGCGGGUCUCUGGACAGUUCCUGACGCUGAGGCACGAAAGCGUGGGGAGCAAACAGG